UAAUUGUAUCGAUAGUUCGAUAUAAAUAAAUAUUUUCGACAUCCCUAGCCUCCAUUUUGGCGUCGAUUUUCUUCAGUUUCGUGGUUUGUGUUUCUUCUUUCCUCAAUUCCAAAACACCAAAGUGAAAAAAUAUUCAAGUGUGCCGAAUACUUAUCGAACAAAGUGCCAACGAAAAUUGUCGUCAAAAGGCCGCAACAUACGGGAGUUUUUCCUCAUCUCGUGCUGGUGCUGAGUGAGUGUGAGUGUGAAAGGUAUAUGCGGAAGCAAGGUGUAGCAAAAGACGAAAAAAAGAGCGUGUGGAUGCGUAUGUGUAUGUGUGUGUGUGUGUGUGUGUGUGCGUAAGUGAAGGAAAGCAGUCGAAAAAAAAUGGAAUAAAACGAAAGAAAUGUCGGGCAAAGCGGCGCAAAAAACGCAAUAUAGGAUACUAAAUCGUAUAUAGUAUAUGAAAAGCGAUUUUAACAUUAAUAUAUCGAAUAAAUAACGCCGCUCUCCCGACGAUUUCGUGCCUGCGUCUAAUUGAACAAUUACAAUCUUUGGUGUGUGUUAAAAAUAAAGUUAAUUAACCAAAAAAAA